UCCGUUUUGGCGGAUAAGCGCACAAAGUUUAGGUCUUUGAAAUGAUUAACUCAGACGGGU
rnacentral:tRNA from 1 species